AGUGGCGGACGGGUGAGUAACGCGUGAGAAUCUGCCUUGGGGUCGGGGACAACCACUGGAAACGGUGGCUAAUACCGGAUAAGCCGAUUGGUGAAAGAUUUAUUGCCCGAAGAGGAGCUCGCGUCUGAUUAGCUAGUUGGUGAGGUAAGAGCUCACCAAGGCAGCGAUCAGUAGCUGGUCUGAGAGGACGAUCAGCCACACUGGGACUGAGACACGGCCCAGACUCCUACGGGAGGCAGCAGUGGGGAAUUUUCCGCAAUGGGCGAAAGCCUGACGGAACAAGACCGCGUGAGGGAGGAAGGCUCUUGGGUUGUAAACCUCUUUUCUCAGGGAAGAAGCUCUGACGGUACCUGAGGAAUCAGCCUCGGCUAACUCCGUGCCAGCAGCCGCGGUAAUACGGAGGAGGCAAGCGUUAUCCGGAAUUAUUGGGCGUAAAGCGUCCGCAGGUGGCGAUUCAAGUCUGCUGUCAAAGCACGGGGCUUAACUCCGUAAAGGCAGUGGAAACUGAAUAGCUAGAGUGCCGUAAGGGUAGAGGGAAUUCCCGGUGUAGCGGUGAAAUGCGUAGAGAUCGGGAAGAACAUCGGUGGCGAAAGCGCUCUACUGGACGGCAACUGACACUCAGGGACGAAAGCUAGGGGAGCGAAUGGGAUUAGAUACCCC
rnacentral:rRNA from 1 species